UCCCUGGUGGUUGAGUGGUUAAGACUCUGUGCUUACAACGCAGGGGAUGUGGGUUCAAUCCCUGGUCAGGGAA